rnacentral:rRNA from 1 species
CCUACGGGGGGCUGCAGUGGGGAAUAUUGGACAAUGGGGGCAACCCUGAUCCAGCCAUGCCGCGUGUGUGAAGAAGGCCUUCGGGUUGUAAAGCACUUUAAGCAGGGAGGAAGGCUCGUUGGUUAAUAACCAGCGGGAGUGACGUUACCUGCAGAAUAAGCACCGGCAAACUCCGUGCCAGCAGCCGCGGUAAUACGGAGGGAGCGAGCGUUAAUCGGAAGUACGUGGCGUAAUUCGUACGUAGGCGGUGAAAUCCCCGGGCUCAACCUGGGUGCUGCAUUCGAUACUGGCAGACUUGAAUACGGUAGAGGGGGGUGGAAUUCCAGGUGUAGCGGUGAAAUGCGUAGAGAUCUGGAGGAACACCAGUGGCGAAGGCGGCCCCCUGGACCGAUAUUGACGCUGAGGUACGAAAGCGUGGGGAGCAAACAGGAUUAGAUACCCCUGUAGUC